AUUGAACGCUGGCGGCAGGCCUAACACAUGCAAGUCGAGCGGAUGAAGGGAGCUUGCUCCUGGAUUCAGCGGCGGACGGGUGAGUAAUGCCUAGGAAUCUGCCUGGUAGUGGGGGAUAACGUCCGGAAACGGGCGCUAAUACCGCAUACGUCCUGAGGGAGAAAGUGGGGGAUCUUCGGACCUCACGCUAUCAGAUGAGCCUAGGUCGGAUUAGCUAGUUGGUGGGGUAAAGGCCUACCAAGGCGACGAUCCGUAACUGGUCUGAGAGGAUGAUCAGUCACACUGGAACUGAGGCACGGUCCAGACUCCUACGGGAGGCAGCAGUGGGGAAUAUUGGACAAUGGGCGAAAGCCUGAUCCAGCCAUGCCGCGUGUGUGAAGAAGGUCUUCGGAUUGUAAAGCACUUUAAGUUGGGAGGAGGGGCAGUAAGUUAAUACCUUGCUGUUUUGACGUUACCAACAGAAUAAGCACCGGCUAACUUCGUG
rnacentral:rRNA from 1 species